rnacentral:lncRNA from 1 species
ACUGAUGCGUAUUAAAGUUAUAUAUAAACAAGUUUUCUUUCUGUGAAGUAAAAUAAAUUCAAAUAUAUAUUUUGUAAUAACCCUUAAAUUAAAAGUAAAAUUUUUAAUUAUAUUAAAAUAAUAAAAUUUAAGUUUUAGAAAAAUAAAAACUCACAACAGCUUAUUAAGACACUUCAGAAACGUGCAUCCUCCUCCAAAACAUCUUUGUAACCUUGCCCUCUCCCAAACCAUUCUUCUCUCUAGAUUUCUUCCUCAACU